UGGUAAGUCAGAGGAAAUACAAAAAGGUAACUAAUUGAUCUUUCUAACUAGAUAAAUAGCAGUCAGGGAUGGGAUGAUUAGGUAUGAGAGGCAUUGAAGCAAAGUUUUUUUUCCAAGUCAUCAGUAUUUACUGUACAUGUUAUUUUUUAUUCUACUGGUAAUUUGGGAAUCUGAAUGCUCUAAAUUACCUAGCUGAUUCCUUCAAAU